GAUGAACGCUGGCGGCGUGCUUAACACAUGCAAGUCGAACGGUGAAGCAGGAGCUUGCUCUUGUGGGUCAGUGGCGAACGGGUGAGUAACACGUGAGCAACCUGCCCCUGACUCUGGGAUAAGCGCUGGAAACGGCGUCUAAUACUGGAUAUGUGAUGUGACCGCAUGGUCUGCAUCUGGAAAGAAUUUCGGUUGGGGAUGGGCUCGCGGCCUAUCAGCUUGUUGGUGAGGUAAUGGCUCACCAAGGCGUCGACGGGUAGCCGGCCUGAGAGGGUGACCGGCCACACUGGGACUGAGACACGGACCAGACUCCUACGGGAGGCAGCAGUGGGGAAUAUUGCACAAUGGGCGGAAGCCUGAUGCAGCAACGCCGCGUGAGGGAUGACGGCCUUCGGGUUGUAAACCUCUUUUAGCAGGGAAGAAGCGAAAGUGACGGUACCUGCAGAAAAAGCACCGGCUAACUACGUGCCAGCAGCCGCCGUAA
rnacentral:rRNA from 1 species